rnacentral:rRNA from 1 species
UGGCGGCGUGCCUAACACAUGCAAGUCGCACGAGAAAGUGGAGCAAUCCAUGAGUAAAGUGGCGCACGGGUGAGUAACACGUGAAUGAUCUACCUCCGAGUGGGGAAUAACCUAGAGAAAUCUGGGCUAAUACCGCAUAACACUUACGAGUCAAAGCAGCAAUGCGCUUGGAGAGGAGCUCGCGGCCGAUUAGUUAGUUGGCGGGGUAAUGGCCCACCAAGACGAUGAUCGGUAUCCGGCCUGAGAGGGCGCACGGACACACUGGAACUGAAACACGGUCCAGACUCCUACGGGAGGCAGCAGUGGGGAAUUUUGCGCAAUGGGGGAAACCCUGACGCAGCAACGCCGCGUGGAGGAUGAAAUCCCUUGGGAUGUAAACUCCUUUCGAUCGGGACGAUUAUGACGGUACCGGAAGAAGAAGCCCCGGCUAACUUCGUGCCAGCAGCCGCGGUAAUACGAGGGGGGCAAGCGUUGUUCGGAAUUAUUGGGCGUAAAGGGCGCGUAGGCGGUUUGACAAGUCUGAUGUGAAAUCUCUGGGCUCAACUCAGAGUCUGCAUUAGAAACUGUCGGGCUUGA